GAGAGUUUGAUUCUGGCUCAGGACGAACGCUGGCGGCGUGCUUAACACAUGCAAGUCGAACGGGCUGACACGCUAACACUGAACUUUUCAGCGUUAGACGACAGCGUUGCCGAAGUUUUGCAAAGCAAAACCGGCUACGCAUUUCAAAAAAAGUGCUAACACAACUUAGAAUGUUGAAAGGUUGAGUGUUAGCGUGGAUGCUAGUGGCAAACGGGUGAGUAACGCGUAGGCAACCUGCCCUUCAGAUGGGGACAACACUUCGAAAGAGGUGCUAAUACCGAAUGACGUAUCCCUUCCGCAUGGAGAGGAUACCAAAGGCCGGGCAACCGGUCACUGAAGGAUGGGCCUGCGUCUGAUUAGCUGGUUGGUGGGGUAACGGCCACCAAGGCGACGAUCAGUAGCCGGUCUGAGAGGAUGAACCGGCCACAUUGGGACUGAGACACGGCCCAAACUCCUACGGGAGGCAGCAGUGGGGAAUCUUCCGCAAUGGGCGCAAGCCUGACGGAGCAACGCC
rnacentral:rRNA from 1 species